AUAAAAUAUUAAUUCACAAAAUGUUUAGUCUGCAUCUAUUCCAGCCUCAAGCCCUAACGUUCACUUACAGGAAAUAAGAAGAUAAAAGAACAAGGCCAACAUCACAAUGAGGAAACAAUCACACAUAUUCAAAAUGUUGGACAUUCUCCAAGAUAACCAGGGUGGAAUAAUCAAUGUCAUUUGAAAAAAUGAGCAGACUAUUUCAUAUCAGAAAAAGACUAUGAAAGAAUAAAGGAAUAGACAACAUCUAAUUUAUUUAUUUUGAAUUGAUUUUACUAGUUUAUGAUUUUAUAAUGUCAUAUGUUAAUUUAUUUACAGAUCAUAGCUGUGGUGCUGAGAACAUAACCUACUCCCAUUGGUUUCCAACAACUGAGACCUUGAACAGUGACUUCUUAGCUGUAAAUCCCAGAAUCUUCUGUUUCAAAUCAAUUCUUCAGGAAAAAGAGGACAAAAUAUAAACCCAAGUGGAGAGAGUACUAAAAGACACAAGAUUUUUUUUUAGAGAAUUUAUCAAUCUAAUAUGAGCAAUUAAUUAUUUAUGAUGGUUCCUAUGUUUCACAGAGAAGUUGAAGAAAUAAGAUUAGAACCAUCUUAUGGGCUCUGGGUAAGGCUCUGCAAUCUUUCACCAUUUUUGCUUUAUUUAUUAUACCAAGUAGCAUGACAGAUGUUUGCAAUUUGACUUGAACAUUUUCAUUGUCUUUGCUUUUUUUGUUUCUUUCUUUUUAAAAAUCCAUGGUUUUUUAAUUUCCUUUUCAAUAUUUGCAUCCUUUUAUGGAAUAUAAGAGACCACUUAUAUGCACAAGAGUUAUCUCUUGUGGGUCUCACUAUUAUUAUCAUCAAAAUGCCUGAAAUUACCUGUGAGGGAACAUUAUAAAGUAAAUGAUAAAGAAAUAAUUUAAUGUUACACAUUAGGUAACCUCUAGGAAUAUAUGCUGGAACCAUAGGAAGACAUUGGGCAGGAAGAACAAUAAAAAUAUUUGGAUUGGAAGUAAAAAUGCUAAUCUACUUGUCAGAAAGGUCAUGUCUACAGUCAACAACUGUUCAAAUAGAAGCUUUAAAGCGAGGCUCAGCACACUUUUCUGUAGAGCCAGACAACAAAUAUCUCCGGCUUUGUGGUCCAUAUGGUCGACACUGCAACUACUAGAGUCUGCCAUUGUAGCACGCAAACAGCCAUAGACCAUAUGUGAAUGAAUGGUGUGGCUGUGUUCCAAAAGCCUUAUUUACAAAAACAAGGGAAGUGUUAGACUUCUUCAGAUCUUGGUGUGCUAGUCCUUGCUUUACACAACUAAGAUGAGUGUGAACUAUAUUUCAAAUAGAAGUGAGAGCCCCAAAGGUGGGCAAACCAUUAUAGUAAGAUGGUCAAGUUGCCUAGGCAGGGGCAAUUUAGACAUCUAGACAUCAUAAUUUUGAGUGAGCUAUCAAUUUAUUCAGGCAGGUUUUCUAAGUCUUAGAUUAAAGGGGUAGGUUGGAAUUUAGGGUUAGAUUCUACCUCACUGAGACAAAAUGAUACAAAUAAAAAGUUCAUGACAAGGAUAGAUAAAGACCGUGAACUUACUAGAACAUACUAAGUACAGCUGCUCAUAGCAACAAGGUUUAUUUCAGAUCUUACCUGUUGCUAGCACCAUAUAUUACUCUAACAUGCUUGCUCAAUUUGCUGUCCCAUGGAAAAAAUAAUUGGUUGAGAACUAGUCAGAAGAGUCUUUGUAACUACUUUAAGGACAAAAGUAAUGUUGCUGUUGUGUCCUCAAUAUAUAUAUACAAUAGUGCCUGGAACACAAUAGACAUUUAGUGAUCAUUCCUUGUGUACCUAGAACUUG
rnacentral:lncRNA from 10 species